rnacentral:lncRNA from 1 species
UGGGGGAUACCUUGGGUAGUAGAGUAGCAUUAUUAAUUUUAUUUAAAAAAGUUUUUGAGCUGGUGUUAUUAGCCACUAUAGGAUUAGUAGCUUUAAUCAAAUUUUUAUGAAGGUUUUCAGUAGGGUGGUUAUGGUUAGCACACAGAUUAGCAGGAAUUUGAUUAGUAGAAUUAGUGGAGCUUUCAGUCUGAGUAGUGGGGUUUUUCAAGGCCAAGUUCUGGAAUUUUAUUGGAUGAUACAUUUCGCUUUAUUGAAGAUAGGCAAAUUGAUUCUUGUUUGUAAUUCUAAAAUCAUUUUUGGUGUGGUAAUAUCGAGCUUUGUAAUUAAGAAUUUGAGUUGUACUAAAUUUACCUGUAGAUGCUUCAUAAAUUUUAACGUUUAUUCCUGGUUUUGGAGUGUGUUCCUUGAUCGGAAUCUGUUUUUUUUGUACCUUUCUUGAAGGAUACGGCUUUUCACUCGCCUGUAUUUGUAAAAACUUACUUUGUAGGGCCUUGUUGGUUUCUUUGCUGUCUUUCCAUUGGUUGUUCUUGCAAAUUAUUGUCCACCUAUUUAUUAUUUUCAUUUGUUGGUUGGGCUUCCAAGUGGGAGUUUAUUUUUGUGCACUGGCUGGGGGAGUGACCUAAGAAACCACAGCUUCGACAGAGGAGUUUUUCUCCUUCGUAAAGGCUCUGCUGCUUGUGUGGGCCAAUCCAAACAUACGACUUAACUUGUUUGUUUAGGAGAGUUCUACACAGAUUUUAGCGUAUCUGCCUCUGAGGGAUACAGAGGUACAUGCAUCCACUUUGAGGAGGCGGCCUAUUUUAUUUCCUACUUUGGAAAGGACUUUCUCGUCGUAAAACUCUGUAGGUAGUUCAGGAAAUUGAUUCCACAGAUUAGUAAAAGUUUGCUUAGCUCUUGAGGGAACAAAGUUAGGCUCCCAUCUUUGCACAAAUAGAAAAUUACCAACUAUGAACUAGGGGCCUUUUUGUAAGGCAGUUUCCAUGUUUUCUUGUUUGCUGAAUUUUACUGUGUAGUAACCUUCUCCCAGAUCAAUAAGGGGAAAGUCCUCAGAUGGUUUCCAUAGUUCAGUGAUCUUUUGUUUUAGAACUUGGUGAAGAAUUCUUUUUUCUUGUAGCUUGAUUAUUAC